ensembl:lncRNA
AAGUUAGAAUUGCAGUUCAAUUCACAGUAUAAACCAAAUGUACUGCCCUAACAAAUAUUUCAUCACUCUUGUUUCGCUCUAUGUAUCUUACUUACAAGUAACCUUUUUGUUGUUAUCAAUUUAUUUGUAUUAUUUACGGGAGGCCUCUGCUCAUGCUCAACCGACUUCAUUUCAUUCCGCUCAGGUCUGUGACAAAAACACAAAUAAUGCUGCUAGUGUAAGAGCAAAAUAACAAAAUGCACACAAAAAAGAAGGGAAGAAAAAUCCACACAGUACCUUCUUUUAAUCAUCCAGACGGUUGUGGAAAAGCAAAACACAAAAGCUAUCAACUAGAUAUAGAUAAUAUCAGCAUAACAGAAAACAUCUAUCCAUCUAUCCAUCAUCCGUCCAGCUAGUUUCUCUGCUUUUCCAAUUCUGGGUUGCAAGGAUCUGGAUCCAUAUCCCAUCUACCACAGGGAGAGAGGUGGGAUCACACAGGGCACAGGGCUAUAAGAACAAAUUCAUUAUUAUAACUUUCAGUUAGGCACUGUUAUUUUCCUCCUAAAAUAUUGUGUGCACAGUGUGCAAUAAAUCGUAUAUGAAAAUGGUAUGAAGACAGCAUAUUAAACAUUACAACUUAAAAGAAAAUGCUUAUUAUAAAAGUCUGUGACAAAAAAGGACAGCAUUAGUGUAAUACUAAUGGAAAAAAUAGAAAAAUGAAUAAAAUAAAAAAUCAAUAAGUUGUCAAACAAUUUAGCAAUGGUGCCUCUAAAAUAGCAAGUAGUUUGUGAACUGCAACAGCUGCAGUAUAUUAUGUAUUUUCACACAUCUGUAUACAAGGGAUAUGCUCAAAAAACCAGUAGCCUGUGGCUGUGAUCUUUAAAGGCAUUAAAAACAGACACAGUUCUGCAUGUUGCUGGCAUCAAAUCUGAAACGUUUCAUCUCGAAAACUGAACAAAUCCCUCAACUUUUUUUUGUAUCUACAGCUUAGUGCUACCAAAGGUUUUUGGCCACAUACCAACUGUUUGCUGCUGGAAUCUGUUUAAAUUUAGACUGCUAAGAGCUUAUGAUGGAAAAAAGAAACUGUUUUGGCAAUUAGACUUAGAUGAUAUUCCCUGAUGAAAA